rnacentral:tRNA from 1 species
GCCCGGAUGGUGGAACGCAGACACGGCGAGCUUAAACCUCGCUGGCCUUUGGCCGUACCGGUUCGAGUCCGGUUCCGGGCA